UAAUACAGAGGGUGCGAGCGUUAAUCGGAAUUACUGGGCGUAAAGCGUGCGUAGACGGUUUCGUAAGUCGGAUGUGAAAUCCCCGGGCUCAACCUGGGAAUUGCAUUCGAGACUGCGAGGCUAGGGUGCGGAAGAGGGAAGCGGAAUUUCCGGUGUAGCGGUGAAAUGCGUAGAUAUCGGAAGGAACAUCAGUGGCGAAAGCGGCUUCCUGGUCCAGCACCGACGUUCAGGCACGAAAGCGUGGGGAGCAAACAGG
rnacentral:rRNA from 1 species